GAACGCGAAGAACCUUACCAGGUCUUGACAUCCCUCUGACCACUCUAGAGAUAGAGUUUUCCUUCGGGACAGAGGUGACAGGUGGUGCAUGGUUGUCGUCAGCUCGUGUCGUGAGAUGUUGGGUUAAGUCCCGCAACGAGCGCAACCCCUAUUGUUAGUUGCCAUCAUUCAGUUGGGCACUCUAGCGAGACUGCCGGUAAUAAACCGGAGGAAGGUGGGGAUGACGUCAAAUCAUCAUGCCCCUUAUGACCUGGGCUACACACGUGCUACAAUGGCUGGUACAACGAGUCGCAAGUCGGUGACGGCAAGCUAAUCUCUUAAAGCCAGUCUCAGUUCGGAUUGUAGGCUGCAACUCGCCUACAUGAAGUCGGAAUCGCUAGUAAUCGCGGAUCAGCACGCCGCGGUGAAUACGUUCCCGGGUCUUGUACACACC
rnacentral:rRNA from 1 species